GAUGAACGCUGGCGGCGUGCCUAAUACAUGCAAGUCGAGCGAACGGACGAGAAGCUUGCUUCUCUGAUGUUAGCGGCGGACGGGUGAGUAACACGUGGAUAACCUACCUAUAAGACUGGGAUAACUUCGGGAAACCGGAGCUAAUACCGGAUAAUAUUUUGAACCGCAUGGUUCAAAAGUGAAAGACGGUCUUGCUGUCACUUAUAGAUGGAUCCGCGCUGCAUUAGCUAGUUGGUAAGGUAACGGCUUACCAAGGCAACGAUGCAUAGCCGACCUGAGAGGGUGAUCGGCCACACUGGAACUGAGACACGGUCCAGACUCCUACGGGAGGCAGCAGUAGGGAAUCUUCCGCAAUGGGCGAAAGCCUGACGGAGCAACGCCGCGUGAGUGAUGAAGGUCUUCGGAUCGUAAAACUCUGUUAUUAGGGAAGAACAUAUGUGUAAGUAACUGUGCACAUCUUGACGGUACCUAAUCAGAAAGCCACGGCUAACUACGUGCCAGCAGCCGCGGUAAUACGUAGGUGGCAAGCGUUAUCCGGAAUUAUUGGGCGUAAAGCGCGCGUAGGCGGUUUUUUAAGUCUGAUGUGAAAGCCCACGGCUCAACCGUGGAGGGUCAUUGGAAACUGGAAAACUUGAGUGCAGAAGAGGAAAGUGGAAUUCCAUGUGUAGCGGUGAAAUGCGCAGAGAUAUGGAGGAACACCAGUGGCGAAGGCGACUUUCUGGUCUGUAACUGACGCUGAUGUGCGAAAGCGUGGGGAUCAAACAGGAUUAGAUACCCUGGUAGUCCACGCCGUAAACGAUGAGUGCUAAGUGUUAGGGGGUUUCCGCCCCUUAGUGCUGCAGCUAACGCAUUAAGCACUCCGCCUGGGGAGUACGACCGCAAGGUUGAAACUCAAAGGAAUUGACGGGGACCCGCACAAGCGGUGGAGCAUGUGGUUUAAUUCGAAGCAACGCGAAGAACCUUACCAAAUCUUGACAUCCUUUGACAACUCUAGAGAUAGAGCCUUCCCCUUCGGAGGACAAAGUGACAGGUGGUGCAUGGUUGUCGUCAGCUCGUGUCGUGAGAUGUUGGGUUAAGUCCCGCAACGAGCGCAACCCUUAAGCUUAGUUGCCAUCAUUAAGUUGGGCACUCUAAGUUGACUGCCGGUGACAAACCGGAGGAAGGUGGGGAUGACGUCAAAUCAUCAUGCCCCUUAUGAUUUGGGCUACACACGUGCUACAAUGGACAAUACAAAGGGCAGCGAAACCGCGAGGUCAAGCAAAUCCCAUAAAGUUGUUCUCAGUUCGGAUUGUAGUCUGCAACUCGACUACAUGAAGCUGGAAUCGCUAGUAAUCGUAGAUCAGCAUGCUACGGUGAAUACGUUCCCGGGUCU
rnacentral:rRNA from 1 species